rnacentral:rRNA from 1 species
UGCAAGUCGAACGAACUCGACCUUCGGGUUAUAUAGUGAGUGGCGAACGGGUGAGUAACACGUGAGAAACCUGCCCCGAAGACUGGAACAACCCGAGGAAACUCGGGCUAAUACCGGAUACCCCCAUCGGAUCGCAUGGUCUGAUGAGGAAAUGCUCCGGCGCCUCGGGAGGGUCUCGCGGCCUAUCAGCUAGUUGGUGAGGUAACGGCUCACCAAGGCAACAACGGGUAGCUGGUCUGAGAGGACGAUCAGCCACACUGGGACUGAGACACGGCCCAGACUCCUACGGGAGGCAGCAGUGGGGAAUAUUGCGCAAUGGGCGAAAGCCUGACGCAGCCACGCCGCGUGCGGGAUGAAGGCUCUAGGGUUGUAAACCGCUUUAGGCAGGGAAGAAAAUGACGGUACCUGCAGAAUAAGGUCCGGCCAACUAUGUGCCAGCAGCCGCGGUAAUACAUAGGGACCGAGCGUUGUCCGGAUUUAUUGGGCGUAAAGAGCUCGUAGGCGGUUCGGUAAGUCAGGUGUGAAAGCUCGAGGCUCAACCUCGAGAAGCCACCUGAUACUGCCGUGACUUGAGUCCGGUAGAGGAGUGUGGAAUUCCUGGUGUAGCGGUGAAAUGCGCAGAUAUCAGGAGGAACACCAAUUGCGAAGGCAGCACUCUGGGCCGGUACUGACGCUGAGGAGCGAAAGCGUGGGGAGCGAACAGGAUUAGAUACCCUGGUAGUCCACGCCGUAAACGUUGGGCACUAGGUGUGGGAUCGAACUAACCGAUUCCGUGCCGCAGCUAACGCAUUAAGUGCCCCGCCUGGGGAGUACGGGCCGCAAGGCUAAAACUCAAAGGAAUUGACGGGGGACCGCACAAGCGGCGGAGCAUGUUGCUUAAUUCGAGGCAACGCGAAGAUCUACCUGGGUUUGACAUGUAGGGAAAGCCAUAGAGAUAUGGUGUCCUUAGGGGUCCUACACAGGUGGUGCAUGGCUGUCGACAGCUCGUGUCGUGAGAUGUUGGGUUAAGUCCCGCAACGAGCGCAACCCUUGUCCUAUUGUGCCAGCGGGUAAUGGCCGGGGACUCGUAAGAAAACGGC